CAGUCGCCGCGGGAACACAGAGGGUGCGAGCGUUAAUCGGAUUUACUGGGCGUAAAGCGUGCGUAGGCGGCUUUUUAAGUCGGAUGUGAAAUCCCUGAGCUUAACUUAGGAAUUGCAUUCGAUACUGGGAAGCUAGAGUAUGGGAGAGGAUGGUAGAAUUCCAGGUGUAGCGGUGAAAUGCGUAGAGAUCUGGAGGAAUACCGAUGGCGAAGGCAGCCAUCUGGCCUAAUACUGACGCUGAGGUACGAAAGCAUGGGGAGCAAACAGGAUUAGAUACCUGGGUAGUCCCUGUUUCUUAUAC
rnacentral:rRNA from 1 species